UCCACUCCGCCUCUCCGCACUCGCCGUCGUCUGCUACAAGACUUCCUUCCAUCUCUCCGUAUCAUAGGACCACAACAAGAGUAAGCAAGCCCUUUGUUAACCACUCCACACUCUACAUCAAGCCAAAAGCUCAAAGCCAAAGGAAAUGCGAAUGGAGUUGUAUGGCUUGUGGUAUAUUUAUAGGCAAAAGGAUACAUAUAUAACGGACACUUCAGCAACUUGUGCACUUGCCUUCAAAUUACAUUCAAGCAUAUUAAAAUCUGAAUUUGGAGUCAUCAAAGAUUUU